UACGGGGGGAGCAAGCGUUGUUCGGAUUUACUGGGCGUAAAGGGCGCGUAGGCGGCCACUGCAAGUCAGUUGUGAAAUCUCCGGGCUUAACCCGGAAAGGUCAACUGAUACUGCAGGGCUAGAGUGCAGAAGGGGCAACUGGAAUUCUCGGUGUAGCGGUGAAAUGCGUAGAUAUCUGGAGGAACACCGGUGGCGAAGGCGGCAUCCUGGACCGAGAUUGACGCUGAGGCGCGAAAGCUAGGGGAGCAAACGGG
rnacentral:rRNA from 1 species